GACGUAGCGUGCCGGCAAGCACGUGAACCUCGGGAGAAAAAUUGGUGUCUCAAUUGUGUUUGAUUGGCAUUCUCCCGGUGCUUGAUUGUUUAUAUUGGUGAUUGGUUCAUCCCCUACAUGGCGGUAUAAUUAUCUCAUCCACUCUUUUACAUUCCCGCAAACUAGAGUAGCUUACUUACUUGUAUAGAAACUUUAGGUAGCUUUCUAGUGUAAGUAGUGACAUAGCUCUUGUGUGCCUAGUGAUCAUAUCAACUAGAAUUGUGGGAUAGGUGGCUUGCAAACACCCCUUUAGAGCUAGAGCAAAAAGCUUCGCUUUGUUAUUUACUAACCUAUUGCUCUAGUGAGUUUGUAGAUUUUUAAAUAGGCUAUUCACCCCCUUCUAACCAUAUUAGGACCUUUCAGUCAGCAACUAGAAAAAAAUAAAUAUCAAAUACCAAAAAACUUGACAUCGAGAGACCAUAACCCUAAAGCAUUCGAUCUACUAGAAAAACUAUUAAAGCGAUAGAUCGCCACUCUACUCGGCCUCUGGCGAUAUGAGAACGGGGAUCAGCGGUGGUGGAGGCGGUGGCGGCUCUCGCUAGGGUAAAACACAGAAUGAAAUUAAGCACUGUGUAUCUCUUGCAUACUAAGUACAUAUUCUGAUAGUUUUAGCCCUUGAGAGAAAAUAAACACUAACGUUUUGUUUACAUGGUUUUUCAAAGCAAUGGAAAUAGGACCAUUUUCUAACUUUUAACUAUGAAUUUAAAUAUUUCAAUCAAGUCAAGCGCCCAUGUAUGGGGGGUGUAAAUGUGGUAGUUUUGCACCUGUAAAUUUUUCCAUGCCUUUCAGGAGAUGACGGGACAGCCUCGAGGGAUCCUAGCGGAGGAUCGUGCCAUUAUCAUAUAGAUUAUAAAAAGAAGAAAAAAAGAUAAAUAUACUAUUUUAAAAUAUAUACACGAAGAAAAAAAGAAAGAUAAUAACUAAGCCUUGACAUUAAUUCUCACAAGAUGCACUAGAAAAAAAUAAAUGCUAGAAAAUUAUCACAUGAAUCAGAAGCUAGCAUCUAACCAUUGAAUCUAUAGGAUCUGGCAAUCUAAAAGCAUUAGAUCUAUUUUAUUUUCUAAAGAAUUACCCACCUCUACAAUUAUUAUAGGUAAAAGAAAGAAAAAAAAAGAUAAAUCCAUUAUUUUAAAAUAUAUAAGUACCAAGAAAGAAAUAAAAUAAUUAAUACACUAUCAAUGAAUACAUUAUUUUUUCAUGCCUUCCAACCGAUGACGGGAUAGCCUCGAGGGAUAAGAUCGUGCCAUUAUUAUAGAUAAUAAAAAUAAAGAAAAAAGAUAAAUUCAUUAUUUUAAAUAUACGUACCAAAUACGUCUGUGGCCUGGCCUCUAACAAAAUAGCCUAAAAUCUAGGUAUCAAGAAAAUCUACCAACUACUCUCUCUAUCCCAAAUUAAGUGUUGUUUUUGGUUUUCAUGUCCUAAAUUUGACUCGAUUUGUAGAAAAUAUGUGUAAUAUUUGUAUCUCCAAAUAAAUUUAUUAAAAAACUAAAUUUAAAAAUCUUCCUAAUGAUACUAAUUAUAUAACAUAAAUAUUAAUAUUUUUUAAUAUAUAUUUAAUUAAAUUAUUUCUCAAGAAGUGACAACACAAUAAGAUGGCAAUCUAGCAAGCAUGGGAGCGAAUGCAUAUUGAGGUGAAGUCGCGGCGUCCGGCCGAACAAUAUGUCGAGUCAGCUCUUAGCGCUUUUGCAAGUUGUCACAAAAAAAAGAGAGUUUUGUAUUGCCAAUGAAAAUGAAUAUGGAUCUAAAAAAAUAUAUAAUCAAUCAAUAAUAAUAAUUUGAAUAAUAUAAAAAAUAUUGUGUUCGUUGGUCUGAAAAAUUAUGGCUAAAAUUAGUGUUGACUAAUUUAGUGCGAAAGAAAAACACUGUUGGCUAAAAAAAUAUACAGCUAAUAAAACAAAUGAACGGGCUCUCAUGACCACUGAUGUUGGCUACGGACCUUGUUUAGUUCUAAUUUUUUUUGAAAAAUCGACAUUAUAACAUUUUUGUUUGUAUUUAACAAAUAUUGUCAAAUUAUAGACUAACUAGCCUCAAAAGAUUCAUCUCGUCAAUUCUAAUUAAACCGUGUAAUUAGUUUUUAUUU
rnacentral:lncRNA from 1 species